rnacentral:rRNA from 1 species
AUGGAGUUGUUAUCGCAUGCUGAAUUUGUGAAGAUCUUGGUGACACUCUGGGCUAUUUGGGCAGCAAGGCAAAAAGCUAUACAUGAAGGCAUUUUUCAGAGCCCACAUGCGAUCAUGUCCUUUGUGGAUAGAUACAUUGGCGAACUUGAGGAAAUCAGUGAGAAAUAUGAGCCGGUAAGGACCGAACCCAUGGUGGUAACCCCCAGCGGCAGAAAGCCUAAAGCCCCUCCUAUGGGUUAUGCCAAAAUCAACGUCGAUGCAGGGUGCAGAAAAGGGAGCCAGGGGACAGCGGCAGCAGUAUGCAGGGAUAGUACGGGGACUUUCCUCGGAAGCUCGGCCCUGGUCAUAAGAGGAGUGGAUGACCCGGCAGCACUAGAAGCUAUUGAGUGUCGGGAAGGUAUGACGCUCGCAGCUGAUCUUCACUUAAAUCAAUUCGUCAUAGCGUCAGAUGCAAAGGAGGUGGUGAGUGCUAUCCAUAAUGAUAGCAUGGGCGCUUAUGGAGCUAUCAUCAAGGAGAUCAGAAUUCAACAACUAUCUUUUCAUUGUAAUUUUAUUUUUAAAGGUCGUUUGAACAAUUUAGAAGCACAUAGGCUAGCCAAGCAUUCUCUUUCCUUGGGUCCGGGGCGCCAUGUAUGGUUAGGCCAGCCCCAUAACCCAAACUGUAUCCCACCUCAUGUGGCAUUCCAUGAAUAA